AUGGGGGCGGAUGUGGAGGAAAGCCUCACACGCGACGAUAAACGUCGAGAUGUUGAGGACAAAGUUCGGGGCCAGAUCAUGAAAAUCCAGGCCAUAGUAGAACAUGAGCCCCCGGACAAAUGGGUGGAGAGGGAAGCCCAGUCCGCGGAGGAAAUGGGGGAGGAACAUCACCUUCUCAUGGAGCCUAGGGGUGGGGAUGAGCUGCCCCUUUUUGGGAAGCCGGUGCACGAUGUCGUUAGACAAGUAUCCGGCCUUCCUCAGUUUUUUGAUGUGUCCCUCCGUGACGGAGGAGACCAUCCACUUGCCUCCUGCUCCGGACAUGGCUGGAGAAGGUUAAGGUGGGAGUGCGGACUUGGGCGCUGA
rnacentral:rRNA from 1 species